CCCUUGAAUUGCUAUCCUAGUUACAAGUUUCGGUUUGCCUCAAGUAGAGAGAGGACUUUGGUAUUUCAAAUGUCAAGACUUACAACAACAAUCAACUAAGUUAUGAAAAUCCCUAAUACUAAACUAUAUAUAGUCUCCUUAUUACAUAAAAGAUGAAAUGACCAAAAGACCCUUAAUGAAAAGGGGGCGCCCCUCUAGUGUAAUAAAUGAGCAAAUAGGG
rnacentral:lncRNA from 1 species